rnacentral:misc_RNA from 1 species
UGGGACUACUGGGGUUUCUAAUCCUGUUUGCUCCCCACGCUUUCGCACCUCAGCGUCAGUAUCGAGCCAGUGAGCCGCCUUCGCCACUGGUGUUCCUCCGAAUAUCUACGAAUUUCACCGCUACACCGAGAAUUCCACUCACCUCUACCGGAAACUAGCCAUGACAGUUUCGACCGGCCUCCCGGGGUUAAGCCCCGGGCUUUCACGACCGACUUGUCAAGCCGCCUACGAGCCCUUUACGCCCAAUAAAUCCGGACAACGCUCGCCCCCCACGUGUUACCGCGGCUGCUGGCACGUAGUUGGCCGGGGCUUCUUCUGUAGGUACCGUCAUUUUCUUCCCUACUGAAAGCGGUUUACAACCCGAAGGCCUUCAUCCCGCACGCGGCGUUGCUGCAUCAGG